rnacentral:rRNA from 1 species
UACCGCAUAAGACCACAGCACCGCAUGGUGCAGGGGUAAAAACUCCGGUGGUAUGAGAUGGACCCGCGUCUGAUUAGCUAGUUGGUGGGGUAACGGCCUACCAAGGCGACGAUCAGUAGCCGACCUGAGAGGGUGAUCGGCCACAUUGGGACUGAGACACGGCCCAAACUCCUACGGGAGGCAGCAGUGGGGAAUAUUGGGCAAUGGGGGGAACCCUGACCCAGCAACGCCGCGUGGAGGAAGAAGGUUUUCGGAUCGUAAACUCCUGUCCUUGGAGACGAGUAGAAGACGGUAUCCAAGGAGGAAGCCCCGGCUAACUACGUGCCAGCAGCCGCGGUAAUACGUAGGGGGCAAGCGUUGUCCGGAAUAAUUGGGCGUAAAGGGCGCGUAGGCGGCUCGGUAAGUCUGGAGUGAAAGUCCUGCUUUUAAGGUGGGAAUUGCUUUGGAUACUGUCGGGCUUGAGUGCAGGAGAGGUUAGUGGAAUUCCCAGUGUAGCGGUGAAAUGCGUAGAGAUUGGGAGGAACACCAGUGGCGAAGGCGACUAACUGGACUGUAACUGACGCUGAGGCGCGAAAGUGUGGGGAGCAAACAGGAUUAGAUACCCUGGUAGUCCACACUGUAAACGAUGAAUGCUAGGUGUAGGGGGUAUCGACCCCUUCUGUGCCGCAGUCAACACAAUAAGCAUUCCGCCUGGGGAGUACGGCCGCAAGGUUGAAACUCAAAGGAAUUGACGGGGGCCCGCACAAGCAGCGGAGCAUGUGGUUUAAUUCGACGCAACGCGAAGAACCUUACCAGGUCUUGACAUCCACUUAAACUUACAGAGAUGUAAGGUGUGCUUGCACAAAGUGAGACAGGUGGUGCAUGGUUGUCGUCAGCUCGUGUCGUGAGAUGUUGGGUUAAGUCCCGCAACGAGCGCAACCCUUG